CUCCCAGGCGUCGAGCGGCGGACGGGUGAGUAACGCGUAGGAAUCUACCCAGUAGAGGGGGAUAGCCCGGGGAAACCCGGAUUAAUACCGCAUACGCCCUAAGGGGGAAAGGCCGGGAUCUUCGGACCGGUCACUAUUGGAUGAGCCUGCGUAAGAUUAGCUAGUUGGUAGGGUAAAGGCCUACCAAGGCGACGAUCUUUAGCUGGUCUGAGAGGAUGAUCAGCCACACUGGAACUGAGACACGGUCCAG
rnacentral:rRNA from 1 species